rnacentral:rRNA from 1 species
UACGUAGGGCGCAAGCGUUAUCCGGAAUUAUUGGGCGUAAAGAGCUCGUAGGCGGUUUGUCGCGUCUGCCGUGAAAGUCCGGGGCUCAACCUCGGACUUGCAGUGGGUACGGGCAGACUAGAGUGUGGUAGGGGAGACUGGAAUUCCUGGUGUAGCGGUGGAAUGCGCAGAUAUCAGGAGGAACACCGAUGGCGAAGGCAGGUCUCUGGGCCACUACUGACGCUGAGAAGCGAAAGCAUGGGGAGCGAACAGG